rnacentral:rRNA from 1 species
UGGCGAACGGGUGAGUAACACGUGGGUGAUCUGCCCUGUACUUUGGGAUAAGCCUGGGAAACUGGGUCUAAUACCGAAUAUGACCACUUCUUGGAUGGGGUGGUGGAAAGCUUUUGCGGUAUGGGAUGAGCUCGCGGCCUAUCAGCUUGUUGGUGGGGUAAUGGCCUACCAAGGCGUCGACGGGUAGCCGGCCUGAGAGGGUGUACGGCCACAUUGGGACUGAGAUACGGCCCAG